UAGGAAGUGGUAUAGUGGAAGUACAGAGAGUUUUGAUCUCUCGGGGGUAGGUUCAAUUCCUAUCUUUCUAA
rnacentral:tRNA from 1 species